rnacentral:rRNA from 1 species
UACGUAGGGCGCAAGCGUUGUCCGGAAUUAUUGGGCGUAAAGAGCUCGUAGGUGGUUUGUUACGUCUGCUGUGAAAACCUAGGGCUUAACCCUGGGCCUGCAGUGGAUACGGGCAGACUAGAGUAUGGCAGGGGAGACUGGAAUUCCUGGUGUAGCGGUGAAAUGCGCAGAUAUCAGGAGGAACACCGGUGGCGAAGGCGGGUCUCUGGGCCGUAACUGACGCUGAGGAGCGAAAGCGUGGGGAGCGAACAGG